UACGGAGGGGGCUAGCGUUGUUCGGAAUUACUGGGCGUAAAGCGCACGUAGGCGGCUUUGCAAGUUAGAGGUGAAAGCCCGGGGCUCAACUCCGGAAUUGCCUUUAAAACUGCAUCGCUAGAAUUGUGGAGAGGUAAGUGGAAUUCCGAGUGUAGAGGUGAAAUUCGUAGAUAUCGGGAGGAACACCAGUGGCGAAGGCGGUUGCCUGGGGCUUUGCUGACGCUGAUGCGCGAAAGCGUGGGGAGCGAUCCGG
rnacentral:rRNA from 1 species